CCUUCCUUCUCACUGGUCUUGGUCCUUGGUACAAGAAAAAUAAAUGGGAAAAAGUAUAUUAUUCCUGAUAAAUAGUUUUCAGAAGAGUAGUCUUAUUAAUGCCGGAAGGAUUGUGUGCAAUCACUGUUUUCUUAACAAAAGUUAGUUUUGGUUACUUGCUGCUUCCCAGUUAUUUUUAAUUUUUGCCCAGAGAGGGUUUUUUUUAAAGGCUAGGUCAAUAGUCCUGCUUAUUUAAAUGCAAAGUAACCAUGUUAACGGAAGAGCACAGUGUUUAUGGGUAAUUAUUCUGAAAGGAGCCUGACUCCUGUGUCAGUGCCGUGGCAUGUGGUCCCAUCUCUGCAGCCAGCCCGCAGGAGGCUGCCUUUGGAGAAGUGCUCAGGUUGAUGCUAGAGGGUUAAGGAAAAAACAGAGCUUACAAGCACUUUCAUCUUUAAAUGUCAUAGGGAUAUGGAUUGUAGAGUCAAAGGCUCGGUCAUUACUCAUGCUUUGUUUAAAUGCUUGAGGACUCACGCUUUAUCACCGUAUUGUACUUUUACUUAAAGUAGAUAUUAAGAGACUGAGGGGUUAAGACACAGAAGAACUGCUAUGUCUAAUAUAUUACACUGGACAAGUAUAGUAAGCAACCCUGCUCAACUCAUUUAGACCCAAAGGUGUAUGAGAGGACUUAGGUUUCUGUCAGGUGGCACUUUUAUCGCCAGCCCUGAGUUUAACCAAGAGAAAGAAGAAUUGAAACCUAAGUCACAGCGCAGUGAAACCAGGGAAGUCCACUCCAUGGCUGCCCUCAUGAGACUGCCUGCCCCCACCUCCUCCUGGAAGGAGAGAGUCUAAAUGUCUUUAUUUCCC